GCGCCUGUAGCUCAGUGGGAUAGAGCAACGGACUUCUAAUCCGUAGGUCGCAGGUUCGAGCCCUGCCAGGCGCG
rnacentral:tRNA from 1 species